rnacentral:rRNA from 1 species
UGGGGAAUAUUGCACAAUGGGCGCAAGCCUGAUGCAGCCAUGCCGCGUGUGUGAAGAAGGCCUUCGGGUUGUAAAGCACUUUCAGCGGGGAGGAAGGCGGUGAGGUUAAUAACCUCAUCGAUUGACGUUACCCGCAAAAGAAGCACCGGCUAACUCCGUGCCAGCAGCCGCGGUAAUACGGAGGGUGCAAGCGUUAAUCGGAAUUACUGGGCGUAAAGCGCACGCAGGCGGUCUGUCAAGUCGGAUGUGAAAUCCCCGGGCUCAACCUGGGAACUGCAUUCGAAACUGGCAGGCUAGAGUCUUGUAGAGGGGGGUAGAAUUCCAGGUGUAGCGGUGAAAUGCGUAGAGAUCUGGAGGAAUACCGGUGGCGAAGGCGGCCCCCUGGACAAAGACUGACGCUCAGGUGCGAAAGCGUGGGGAGCAAACAGG